rnacentral:rRNA from 1 species
AUUGAACGCUGGCGGCAUGCUUUACACAUGCAAGUCGAACGGUAACAGGCCGCAAGGUGCUGACGAGUGGCGAACGGGUGAGUAAUGCAUCGGAACGUGCCCAGUCGUGGGGGAUAACGCAGCGAAAGCUGCGCUAAUACCGCAUACGAUCUCUGGAUGAAAGCGGGGGACCGAAAGGCCUCGCGCGAUUGGAGCGGCCGAUGUCAGAUUAGGUAGUUGGUGGGGUAAAGGCCCACCAAGCCAACGAUCUGUAGCUGGUCUGAGAGGACGACCAGACACACGGGGACUGGGACACGGCCCAGACUCCUACGGGAGGCAGCAGUGGGGAAUUUUGGACAAUGGCGCAAGCCUGAUCCAGCAAUGCCGCGUGCAGGAAGAAGGCCUUCGGGUUGUAAACUGCUUUUGUACGGAACGAAACGGUCCGGGUUAAUACCCUGGGCUAAUGACGGUACCGUAAGAAUAAGCACCGGCUAACUACGUGCCAGCAGCCGCGGUAAUAC